GAUGAACGCUGGCGGCGUGCCUAAUACAUGCAAGUCGAGCGAACAGACGAGGAGCUUGCUCCUCUGACGUUAGCGGCGGACGGGUGAGUAACACGUGGAUAACCUACCUAUAAGACUGGGAUAACUUCGGGAAACCGGAGCUAAUACCGGAUAAUAUAUUGAACCGCAUGGUUCAAUAGUGAAAGACGGUUUUGCUGUCACUUAUAGAUGGAUCCGCGCCGCAUUAGCUAGUUGGUAAGGUAACGGCUUACCAAGGCAACGAUGCGUAGCCGACCUGAGAGGGUGAUCGGCCACACUGGAACUGAGACACGGUCCAGACUCCUACGGGAGGCAGCAGUAGGGAAUCUUCCGCAAUGGGCGAAAGCCUGACGGAGCAACGCCGCGUGAGUGAUGAAGAUCUUCGGAUCGUAAAACUCUGUUAUUAGGGAAGAACAAAUGUGUAAGUAACUAUGCACGUCUUGACGGUACCUAAUCAGAAAGCCACAGCUAACUACGUG
rnacentral:rRNA from 1 species